rnacentral:rRNA from 1 species
UGGUGGGUAGUUUGACUGGGGCGGUCUCCUCCUAAAGAGUAACGGAGGAGCACGAAGGUUGGCUAAUCCUGGUCGGACAUCAGGAGGUUAGUGCAAUGGCAUAAGCCAGCUUGACUGCGAGCGUGACGGCGCGAGCAGGUGCGAAAGCAGGUCAUAGUGAUCCGGUGGUUCUGAAUGGAAGGGCCAUCGCUCAACGGAUAAAAGGUACUCCGGGGAUAACAGGCUGAUACCGCCCAAGAGUUCAUAUCGACGGCGGUGUUUGGCACCUCGAUGUCGGCUCAUCACAUCCUGGGGCUGAAGUAGGUCCCAAGGGUAUGGCUGUUCGCCAUUUAAAGUGGUACGCGAGCUGGGUUUAGAACGUCGUGAGACAGUUCGGUCCCUAUCUGCCGUGGGCGCUGGAGAAUUGAGGGGGGCUGCUCCUAGUACGAGAGGACCGGAGUGGACGCAUCACUGGUGUUCGGGUUGUCAUGCCAAUGGCACUGCCCGGUAGCUAAAUGCGGAAGAGAUAAGUGCUGAAAGCAUCUAAGCACGAAACUUGCCCCGAGAUGAGUUCUCCCUGAGACUUAGAGUCUCCUGAAGGAACGUUGAAGACGACGACGUUGAUAGGCCGGGUGUGUAAGCGCAGCGAUGCGUUGAGCUAACCGGUACUAAUGAACCGUGAGGCUUAACCUUACAACGCCGAAG